AUUUAUUCCCUGGGAACCACUCUCAGCUUGACUUUUCUGAAUCUCUCAGUACAAAACAAUAAAUUGCUGCUUCAAGCCAUGAAAAAUUUUGAUGUAGACAAAGCCACAGUGACAGUGGCUGACUUUAAUCUGCCAUUUAAGGCAAAUUAAAAGCUCUCCUCUUUGUAGGUGUAGGUUUGGGAGCUGCUGGCGUGUGUGGUUCUGGGAAUGCCUCCAGGAUUGCUGGGACUGUCCCCUUUGCUGGGUGGGGAAGGACAGAGUGUCCACGGGGGGAAGGAAAUGCUCUGGGAUUUGUUGAUCCCGGGAUGGAGAGAGGUUUUCCUCGGUGAGCACGGGGAGGAGGGUGCUGGGUCAGCACAUCCCUCCUCUCCCAGCGCUGCCUGGGAUUUCCAGGCAGUGUCAGAGCCUGGCUCUGCUCCCCUCACACCUGGAGAGUCGAUACUGAGGAGGGCUCAUCAAACCCAGCCUGCUGAACACCUCGCACUAAUUAGGAGGCAGCUGUACAGUGGCCAUAAAUCCAUUUCCUCUGGGAAACGAGCUACCUGACGUGAUCUUUCUGUGUGCAAACCCUGCCGAGCCCUACCCUGCAUCUGGGCUGCUUUUAAAGAAGAGAAGUGUCUUUGGCUUCUGCAUCCAACGGGAUUCUGAAGAAAUUCAGGAUCUGAGUGAAUGAAUUCCGAUGUUACCCAAAGAGGCUGGGGCUGCCCUGGAUCCCAGGCUGGACACUGGGGCUGGGAACAACCUGGGACAGGGGAAGGCGUCCCUGCCAUGNNNNNNNNNNNNNNNNNNNNGGUGGGAUGGGUGGGAUUUGGGGUCCCUCCCAACCCAUCCCAAUCUGGGGUUCUGGAUUUGCCUUGUUCUGCUUUCAGCCCAGGAACUGGAGGGCAGUAAGCCCUCGUUUGUUCUGCCUCCCUAAAUUACCAGAGUUUGAAGUUUUGGUAUCAAUAACUCCGACUUUGGAUAAAACCAGCUUGUGAAUAUUGCAUAAAUACCAGAAAACUAAUCGAUUGAGUCCAGCAGAAAGGAGAGUGAUAUUCUACAGAGGGAAUUUUACAGGAGGAAUGCGUCUCCCUCCUUUUCCCCACCCAGUCUGCCGGGGGUCAUCUCCUGCCAGAGAGCUGGGAGAGCCUCCCGAGGAGCCCAAGGCAACUCCUGCCAUCCCAGAGGUGAAAAAGGGUGAAAUCCCACAUCACACAGGGAUUCCUGCCCGAAUUCUUAUUGCACGGAAGCUUCUCUUCAUUUAUCUCCUCCUUUUUUGAUAUCUCUUAAUGGGGUUGU
rnacentral:lncRNA from 1 species